AUUGAACGCUGGCGGCAGGCCUAACACAUGCAAGUCGAGCGGAUGAAGGGAGCUUGCUCCUGGAUCCAGCGGCGGACGGGUGAGUAAUGCCUAGGAAUCUGCCUGGUAGUGGGGGAUAACGUCCGGAAACGGGCGCUAAUACCGCAUACGUCCUGAGGGAGAAAGUGGGGGAUCUUCGGACCUCACGCUAUCAGAUGAGCCUAGGUCGGAUUAGCUAGUUGGUGGGGUAAAGGCCUACCAAGGCGACGAUCCGUAACUGGUCUGAGAGGAUGAUCAGUCACACUGGAACUGAGACACGGUCCAGACUCCUACGGGAGGCAGCAGUGGGGAAUAUUGGACAAUAGGCGAAAGCCUGAUCCAGCCAUGCCGCGUGUGUGAAGAAGGUCUUCGGAUUGUAAAGCACUUUAAGUUGGGAGGAAGGGCAGUAAGUUAAUACCUUGCUGUUUUGACGUUACCAACAGAAUAAGCACCGGCUAACUUCGUG
rnacentral:rRNA from 1 species